UAGACGCCGUGCCGGUCGAGGACCACUUCAUGCCUACAGGAGGGACAGCGAAAGCGGCCUCCCGACGCCAUGGUUGUGCCUCCCCUGGUCGGCAGGUAGGGGUUGGAGGCCUGCUCUUGCCAAGCAGCACAAGGAGAGCCAGUGCUGUUUGGGAAACAGCGCGGGAAGAAACCUACCUGGAAAAUAUCACUGGCGCAUUUCCGACAGAGGUUGUGCUGACAGGGCAGGAUGACCACAGGCUUGGUGAACAUCUCCAGGCAGAUGGGACAAAUCAGCUGUUUCUCCAGCAGGCUCCAGAAUCUUGCCUUUCCAAGCUGUGAAGCACAUGCGGUUGCUGGAGAAGACAACAGGAGCGAUGGCUGCGCCAGAGCUCAGCCACUUCAGAGCGUAAUCAUGUCACCACCUUGAAAAAGAGUUUAAAAAAAAUUGCCUGCU